GCAGAGUUCCUACAAAAACUCAAUGGUGGUAUGGGAAUUCUACUAGGUGGUGUUCCAGGAGUACCUAAAGGUAAAGUAACUAUUAUCGGUGGUGGUCAAGCAGGAACAAAUGCAGCUAAAAUUGCACUAGGACUAGGUGCAGAUGUUACGAUUUUAGAUGUUAAUCCAAAGCGUUUACAACAAUUAGAUGAUUUAUUCGGUGGACGUGUACAUACA
rnacentral:sRNA from 1 species